rnacentral:rRNA from 1 species
UACGGGGGGAGCAAGCGUUGUUCGGAUUUACUGGGCGUAAAGGCGCGUAGGCGGCCAGCGCAAGUCAGUUGUGAAAUCUCCGGGCUUAACUCGGAAAGGUCAACUGAUACUGCGCGGCUAGAGUGCAGAAGGGGCAACUGGAAUUCUCGGUGUAGCGGUGAAAUGCGUAGAUAUCGAGAGGAACACCCGUGGCGAAGGCGGCUCUCUGGGACGGUACUGACGCUGAGACGCGAAAGCGUGGGGAGCAAACAGG